AUUGCUUCUUGGCUCCUUGGAGCUCAGAUCAAAGUGUCGUUUCUGUUCUUAUCAGUUUAAUCUCUGAUACGUCCUUGAUGUGAGGACUGUAUAUUAACCUUCUGGUUAGAAAAGCAGAAAAGAGUUGAACUGUGAUACUUUCUUUAAAGCGGAUGUUUUUUGAAGUAGCAGAAAAAUCUGGGUGUUUUUCUUUCU